GACGAACGCUGGCGGCGUGCCUAAUACAUGCAAGUCGAGCGGAUGGAUGGGAGCUUGCUCCCUGAAGUUAGCGGCGGACGGGUGAGUAACACGUGGGCAACCUGCCUGUAAGACUGGGAUAACUUCGGGAAACCGGAGCUAAUACCGGAUACGUUCUUUUCUCGCAUGAGGGAAGAUGGAAAGAUGGUUUCGGCUAUCACUUACAGAUGGGCCCGCGGCGCAUUAGCUAGUUGGUGGGGUAAAGGCUCACCAAGGCGACGAUGCGUAGCCGACCUGAGAGGGUGAUCGGCCACACUGGGACUGAGACACGGCCCAGACUCCUACGGGAGGCAGCAGUAGGGAAUCUUCCGCAAUGGACGAAAGUCUGACGGAGCAACGCCGCGUGAGCGAAGAAGGCCUUCGGGUCGUAAAGCUCUGUUGUCAGGGAAGAACAAGUGCCAGAGUAACUGCUGGCACCUUGACGGUACCUGACCAGAAAGCCACGGCUAACUAUGUGCCAGCCGCCGCAGUAACAC
rnacentral:rRNA from 1 species